UACGGGGGGGUGCGAGCGUUGUCCGGAAUCACUGGGCGUAAAGGGCGCGUAGGUGGUUUGAUAAGGGUGUGGUGAAAGUCCGGGGCUCAACCCCGGAUCUGCCGUGCCGACUGUCAAACUCGAGGGCUGUAGAGGCAGACGGAAUUCCGGGUGUAGCGGUGGAAUGCGUAGAGAUCCGGAGGAACCCCAGAGGCGAAGGCGGCGCUCUGGCUCGCAACUGACGCUCAGACACGACAGCGUGGGGAGCGAACAGG
rnacentral:rRNA from 1 species